rnacentral:lncRNA from 1 species
CUCCUCCCCCUUUGCCUCCGCGGCUGAUGGAUGAGCCCCGAAUGCUGCUCGAGCCUGUGCUUCCCUUCGGGACGAGGAGGCCGAGAGAGAAGGGGCUAGGGGCGCGGCCGGGCUCAGCGUGCCCGGGUUGGGGCGGCCCCUGUCCUGGGGGAAGCGCGAGGGAGACGUGGGCACGAGCUGCGGGGACUCGCUCCCUCAAACGAGGUCCUUUGAACUUUCCAGGGCUCCCUGGAAGAGUUGGAUUUUCAUUUGGUUCCUUGGUCUUUAUAUAAAAGUUCUGAAACCUCAGAUAAUCUGAUCACAG